rnacentral:lncRNA from 1 species
ACUUGAACCCACAAAAACAACAACGAUGAGGAAGCUUGAAAAAUAAACAAACCAAGAACGUUACUUUUGGCUCAGGAAGAGGCCACAAGAUGCAUUGUUUGUUACUGAAGUUGUAGUCCUGGUGUCCUGCGUGACUUUCUCCAGACGAGAGGUGCUUCUCAAAACUCUCCGGCUCUUUUCAGU